AACGAACGCUGGCGGCAUGCCUAACACAUGCAAGUCGAACGGGAUCCUGGCUUCGGUCAGGUGAGAGUGGAGGACGGGUGAGUAACGCGUGGGAACCUGCCCAGUGGUGGGGGAUAACUGCGGGAAACUGCAGCAAAUACCGCAGGAGCCCGAGGGGGGAAAGCUGUUUUGACAUUGGAGGGGCCCGCGUUCGAUUAGGUAGUUGGUGGGGUAAUGGCCUACCAAGCCGACGAUCGAUAGCUGAUCUGAGAGGAUGAUCGGCCACACUGGGACUGAGAUACGGCCCAGACUCCUACGGGAGGCAGCAGUGGGGAAUAUUGGACAAUGGGGGCAACCCUGAUCCAGCAAUGCCGCGUGAGUGAUGAAGGCCUUCGGGUUGUAAAGCUCUUUUGCCAGGGACGAUGAUGACGGUACCUGGAGAAUAAGCACCGGCUGACUUCGUGCCAGCAGCCGCCGCCG
rnacentral:rRNA from 1 species